CUCAGAUUUGAGGGUCUUUAGUGGAAGGCAAGGGGGUCAAGCAGAGACCCCAGUAACAACUCAAAUCACCACUCUCACCCCUGCCAAUCUGCCCUUCUUCCCAUCUGCAUUCUUCAUCUCCAAACUUAACACCACCCUUUACCCUGCUGCCCAUGCCAGAAACUGCAGCUAUCCUUGAUGCAGUGACAGUAAUCACUACUGUAUAUCGAACGUACCUGAGCCAGGCCCAUGUGAAAAAAGCAUUGUUUUACUUACAUCAUUGUUUCUUACUUUCACAGAAACCCUGGGAUAUGCUCUUUUUUGUUGUUGCCUAUUUAUUAUAAAACUUUGAAAGAGUUAUUCGUUAAUUUGAACAUUUUCAUCCAUUUUGUGGCUUUUCUUUGCACUAUUUUUAUGGUGUGUUUUUAUUGCAGGGCAGGCAAGCCUCAAAACUGGGGCUUAGCCUGGGAGAAAGCCAGGAAAGAAUUCAAGGGCAAGCUAGUGGUGUUAGACAGCAAUCUUUUAUUGAACAGUACUGCUCCUUGCAGAGUAAGGCUAACUCAUAGGCAGCAAAUCCAGAGUCAGCUGAUAUACUCUUUUUAGUCCCAUUUUAUAGAGAAGGAAACAAGCUUAGAUUGCUUAAGUAACUCAAAAAGUUACAAUCUGAAAUUUCUUUUUUUUUUUUUUUUUUUUUUAAGACAGGGUCUGGCUCUCACCAGGGUGGAGUGCCGUGGUGUGAUCUCGGCUCACUGCAACCUCCGCCUCCCAGGCUCAAGUGAUCCUCCUGCCUCAGCCUACUGAGUAGCUGGGACUACAGGCACAUGCCACCGCGCCUGGCUAAUUUCUGUAUUUUUAGUAGAGAUGGGGUUUCGCCAUGUUGCCCAGGCUGGUCUUGAACUCUUGAGCUCAAGUGAUCAGCCUGCCUUGGCCUCCCAAAGUGCUAGGAUUACAGGCAUGAGCCACUGCGCCCAGCCACAAUCUGAAAUUCCUUUCUUGAAAUGUCGCUUAUAUUUCUCUCCUUCCUAGCAUUCCUACCUUAGGUAGGGCCUUAUCAUUUCUCACUGAUCAAAGGCAGUAGCCUCAAAACUCAUUUCUAUUACUCCAAUCAGCCCUAAAUUCUUCCAUUCUCCCCCAUCCUCUCAUGCCACCCCUUAUCUGUUGUGUGAUCGCCGAUCACAAUAAUUCCUCCCAUCCUGUCCCAGUACAAUGUGACUUUGCUGCUUCUGUCAUUAAGAGAUGGAGUCUGUUUCCCCACCUCUUGAAUCUGGGCUGAUCUUAUGAUUUGUUUUGACCAGUAAAGUCUGGUGGAAGGGAUGCUGUGCAACUUCUGCAUGUAGGCCUCAAGAAGCCUCGCAACUUCCACGCUCAUUUUGGAGCUCUUCUGCGGCUCUGUGAAGAAGCCUGGACCAAUCUGCUGGAGACAUGUGCUGGAAGCUGUCUUAGACCUCCUAAGCUCAGUUAAACGGUUAGGUGACCCAAACAGCAUGAGUGACCCCAGCCAAGACCAACCUAAAUCGCUGACCUCCAGAAUCAUGAACAAAUAAAGUAGUGGUUGUUUUAAGCCAGCUGGGCAUGGUGGUUCAUGCCUGUAAUCCCGGCACUUUUGGAGGCCAAGGCAGGAGGGUCGCUUGAAGCCAGAAGUUUGAGACCAGCCUGAGCAACAUAGGGAGAACCCAUUUUUACAGAAAGAUCCUUUGUUCUCUCUCCAUUGCCAGCAGGAUCAAGUCCAGACUUUUGCCCUGAUCCCUGGUUGUUGAUGCUGUUUUAUCUGUGUCUGUCAUGCCUUGCUGCUCCCCUUUUGCACAAAUUCUUUGUCUAUCCAUGCAUAGCAUACCCCAAUGCUUCUGGGUCAGGACAAAUUGUCUCCUCUGUCUAAAUGCC
rnacentral:lncRNA from 1 species